CAACAUGUAGCUUAACUAAAGCAUCUCGCUUACACCGAGAAAAUAUCUGUGAAACCCAGAUCGUUUUGA
rnacentral:tRNA from 2 species